rnacentral:rRNA from 1 species
ACACGACUACAUUAGAUACCCCCGUAGUCCCAGCCCUAAACGAUGCGCGUUAGGUGUAUCGGUGACCACGAGUCACCGAGGUGCCGAAGGGAAACCGUGAAACGUGCCGCCUGGGAAGUACGGUCGCAAGGCUGAAACUUAAAGGAAUUGGCGGGGGGACACCACAACGGGUGGAGCCUGCGGUUUAAUUGGACUCAACGCCGGGAAGCUCACCGGAUAAGACAGCGGAAUGAUUGCCGGGCUGAAGACCCUGCAUGACCAGCUG